rnacentral:rRNA from 1 species
GACGAGCCACACAAACGUUAUUCGGAAUCACUGGGCUUAAAGGGUGCGUAGGCGGCGCGGCAAGUUGGGUGUGAAAUCCCUCAGCUUAACUGAGGAACUGCGCUCAAAACUGCCGUGCUUGAGGGAGAUAGAGGAGUGCGGAACUUACGGUGGAGCGGUGAAAUGCGUUGAUAUCGUAGGGAACACCGGUGGCGAAAGCGGCACUCUGGAUCUCUUCUGACGCUGAGGCACGAAAGCUAGGGUAGCAAACGGG